GCCGCCCGUGUGCGCAUGCGCGUGCCGGGGCCGGACCUCGGGCUCCCUGCUCCGCGCGGCCGGGCUCGGGAUGGGGCGCUGAGCCGGGCGGGUGCAUGGCCGACCCACGGAGGAAGAAGCUGACCAGCGUCGCCAUCUCGCUGCUCUUCCUCUCUGGGGGCAUCGAGUACGCGGUGAUCCUGCCAACCAUCUGGGCCUACCUGCAGACUCUCCAUGCGGAGCCGUACUUCCUGGGCCUGGGGAUCUCUGCCUUCAGCCUCACUGGCCUGCUGUCAGGGCCCCUCUUCGGGCUCUGGUCGGACCGCACCCAGCACACCAAAGCAAUCAUCCUCUUUGCCAACACGUUUGAGAUUGCAGGGAAUUUCAUGUACUUCAUGGGCAUCUCCAAAUGGCUCCUUCUGGGCAGCCGGCUUGUGGCAGGUGUCGGGACAGGAGCGGGUGCCUCCAUCUUUGGGUACCUCACUCGCUCCACCACCUCGCAAGAGCGCGCUACGGUGUUUGCAGUGGUCAUGGCAUGUCGGCAGGUUGGACUCCUGAUUGGACCUGCCUGUAACCUCUUCCUGCGGCUCUGUAACUUCCGUCUGGGGCCCUUUGAGGUCAACAAAUUCACAUCCCCUGGACUCUUCAUGUGCUUGCUGUGGAUCCUGCUCCAGUUCGUCGUCAUGGCCAUGUACUAUGACCUGCCGCCCUCAGCCCACCUGCAGCGGGCGGCCCUUGUGCCACAGGAGGAGGAGGAGGAGCCCUUGGUGCCUCAUGAUGCCGGCCUGGAGGAGGGGGCCGAGAACAGCCGCUACGGCAGCACCGGCUCUGACCUGCGAGCAGCCACCCCCGGCGGUCCUGACCCCCAUGCAGGGGAUGAGUACCGCUACGUGCCCAAUGGACACCUGGCUGAGGAGGAGGCGCAUGACAAGGGGAAGAGCCAGCUCCAGAAUUUAAGCACCAUGAAGGAAUACCUGCGGGAGGAGGUGGUGGUUUUGCUCACAGCCCAGUUCAUCACGCUCUUCAACCAGACGGCCCUGGAGACCAUGGUGACCCCCAUCACCCAGCGCUACCUGAACUUCGGGGAGCUGGAGAACAGCAUCAUGUACUUCCUGUGUGGCAUUGAGGUGAUCUGCGGCUUCUUCCUGGUGCGCUGUCUCAGCAUGCGCCUCCCCGACCGUGUCAUCCUGGUCCUGGGCCUCAUCAUCUGCAACGUGGCCUGUGUCUGGUGCUUGCUGUUUUUGGCUCGGCCCCAAGGGAGCUUUGGUGUCCUGCUGGGAGAGCUGGUGGUCGGGGUUUUUUUGCAGGUCCUGGGGCUCCCCUUUGUGGCCGUCUCCCAGGUCUCGCUCUUCUCCAAGGUGACAGCUGAGAGGACACAGGGCUUCAGUCAGGGGCUGCGGCGCUCGGUUGGGGGAGUGGCCACCAUCCUGGGCCCGCUGUGGGCCGGAGGCCUGACUGACAACCUCUUCAUCAUGCUGGGGGUGAUGAUGGGCCUACUCAGCCUGCUGACGGUGAUGGUUGGGCUCUCGUAUGCCUACCUGGUGGAGUCGCCCAGGGGCUACCUGUCAGAAACGUCCCAGGAGGAGCCAAGCUCGUGACCUCUGACCCCUCCAUGGGCUGCCAGGGGGACAGCAUGGACUGAGGUGAGGUCACUAAGGCAGGUCUCGCUCCGGCUGGCACUGAAGAUCCAUGGGCCCCAUCCUGUUACCCUGGGGCUGCUCCCCUUCUGGGCAGGGGACAGGGGAGUGGGACCAGAGCUCACAUCCUUCUGAAGAGCAUCAGUGCUGUCGAAAUCGGGGAACCCCCUUCCUGCUCGUCUGGACUGGCAUCCCCUGCCCCCAUCCCUCCUGGGUGACACUACUCCCCUUCUUCCCCAUGCCAAUGGGGCCACAGCUGCCUGCUGCCUCUGGACAGAGGGCAGGAUUCCCUGGUGGAGAGGACAGAGAAGCGGUGCUUCUGGCCUCUGUGUGGGCAGCUGCAGGUGCUGAGCCGUGGACCCCGUGGGUGCAGGUCUCUGUCUUUGGUGCUGGAUGCCUCUCCCAGGCUGAGCUGCUCCUGGGGGCUGUAGGUGGCUGGGAACUGCCUGCUCAUGCCAGGGCUGUGGCACCCAUGGUUAGCAAACUGGUGUUUCCUCUGUCUUUCACUCUGGGCAUUUCCCAGUAUUCCCAUCUCUCGCUCCAGGUGGGGGGCUGCUCCCCCCUCACUCCAUGCCGGCAGGGGUGGGUGAGGGAGGGCUGGGCCCCACUCUCCUCGUCUCUGUGUCUGUAACGUGCGUGUGUAUGCGUGUGUGCAGAGAUAAGAAUAAACCCAGGUUUAGUGGCCA